CACUGACCUCUGGGUUGGAUGAUUAUCCAUGUGCGUCGCACCCAAUUGAAGAUGAACGUCAUUUGGAUCUUAGAUGUUGGAUGUUUCUUGCAGCAGAUUGCAUGCAUUCAAUCUCAAAGCUUCUUCAGAAGGAACAUGAACUCGGGAAGGAAUAUGAUUCAACAGCUAAGCUGCUCUCGAAUUUUGAAAUCCUAAAUCAGAUGCACUUUGAUGAUGCACAUGGAACUUACUUGGAUUUUGGAAAUCACAC